rnacentral:rRNA from 1 species
GGCCUGACUGAGUGGUCUGGCCUCGUGUCAGUACUGCUCUGGUCGGGUCUUUCCUUCUGGGGAACCAUCUGCCCUUAACUGGGUGUGUUGGGGAUCUAGGACUUUUACUUUGAAAAAAUUAGAGUGUUUAAAACAGGCUUAUGCUUGAAUACAUUAGCAUGGAAUAACGGAAUAGGACUU